rnacentral:rRNA from 1 species
UACGUAGGGUGCGAGCGUUGUCCGGAAUUAUUGGGCGUAAAGGGCUCGUAGGCGGUCUGUUGCGUCGGGAGUGAAAACUCAGGGCUUAACCCUGAGCCUGCUUCCGAUACGGGCAGACUAGAGGUAUGCAGGGGAGAACGGAAUUCCUGGUGUAGCGGUGAAAUGCGCAGAUAUCAGGAGGAACACCGGUGGCGAAGGCGGUUCUCUGGGCAUUACCUGACGCUGAGGAGCGAAAGUGUGGGGGAGCGAACAGG